CAGGCAUGUGCCACCACACAGCUAAUUUUUUGUAUUUUUUAGUAGAGACGGGGUUUCACUGUGUGAGCCAGGAUGAUCUCCCUCUCCUGACCUCUUGAUCCAUCUGCCUUGGCCUCCCCAUCAUAGCUUUUUAUGAGCAGAGACAAUCCAACUUGAAUACAUGAAGAAUAACAUCUUUAGCACCCCAGAGGGUUGAAUAGUAUCCCAUUGUCUGGAUAUAACACAGCUUAUUGAUCCACUCACCUACUGAAGGACAUUUAAUUGCUUCUGAGUGUUGGCAAUUAUGAGUAAAGAUGCUACAGUCAUGUCUGAAGGCUUCUUUUGUGGACAUAAGUUUUCAACUCCUUCGGGUAAAUACCAAAGAGAACAAGUACUGGAAUGUAAGAGUAUUUUCAGUUUUCUAAGAAACUGUCAAACUGUCUUCCAAAGUGGCUGUACCAUUUUGCAAUUCCACCAUCAAUUGAUGUCCUUCAUCAGUUUGAUGAAGAUCCCCUGUAUUAAGACAACUUUUUGAA